GAAUUUUGGACAAUGGGCGCAAGCCUGAUCCAGCCAUGCCGCGUGAGUGAAGAAGGCCUUCGGGUUGUAAAGCUCUUUCGGCGGGGACGAAACGGGCCGUGCUAAAACCCCGGGCCAAUGACGGUACUCCCAGAAGAAGCACCGGCCAACUACGUGCCCGCAGCCGCGGUAAUACGUAGGGUGCAGGCGUUAAUCGGAAUUAAUGGGCGUAAAGCGUGCGCAGGCGGCUCCUUAAGUCAGAUGUGAAAGCCCCGGGCUUAACCUGGGAACUGCGUUUGAAACUGGGGAGCUAGAGUGUGGAAGAGGGGGGUGGAAUUCCAGGUGUAGCAGUGAAAUGCGUAGAGAUCUGGAGGAACACCGAUGGCGAAGGCAGCCCCCUGGGCUAACACUGACGCUCAUGCACGAAAGCGUGGGGAGCAAACAG
rnacentral:rRNA from 1 species